rnacentral:rRNA from 1 species
UACGUAGGGUGCGAGCGUUUGUCCGGAAUUAUUGGGCGUAAAGAGCUUGUAGGUGGUUUGUCGCGUCUGCUGUGAAAAUCCGAGGCUCAACCUCGGACUUGCAGUGGGGUACGGGCAGACUAGAGGUGUGGUAGGGGAGACUGGAAUUCCUGGUGUAGCGAUGGAAUGCGCAGAUAUCGGGAAGAACACCCGUGGCGAAGGCGGGCUCUCGUGGG